AUUUGUGCGAUGAUGAAGCAAUAUUGUGGACUAGAGUUUCUGAUGUUGGGCUCUUCUUCCCAUUUCCUUUGACGACAAACCCUUGGCUGUCUGAGCACCAAUUAUUAAUCGUUAUUUUUCUCCAAGUUUUCUUAAUUUUUGGAAAAUAUUUUCACUCAAAUUUUAUUAUUUUGUGAAUUAGGUUAAGAGCUAAUGAUGAGAAACAUAAAUAUCUUAGCGGAUUUCAGUGAGAUUUUUAAUCAAUGAUCUGAUUGUUACACACACUGAAGCUCUUAAUAAUUUUUUAAAUUAAAUGGGAUGUAAAUAGUAAUAAUAGCAGUGAUGAGGUUAAACACAUGAGGUUAAACACAUGAGGAUGUGUUUAGGGAAGUGGACAAGACGAUUAAAACCGUUUUGCCGUGAUCCCCAAUUUAAACGACUUCUCCUUCCACUGAGCUUU
rnacentral:lncRNA from 1 species